UACGUAGGUGGCAAGCGUUGUCCGGAUUUACUGGGCGUAAAGAGCGCGCAGGCGGUCGAUCAAGUCGAGUGUGAAAGCCCCCGGCUCAACUGGGGAGGGUCAUUCGAUACUGAUCGACUCGAAGGCAGGAGAGGGUAGUGGAGUUCCCGGUGUAGUGGUGAAAUGCGUAGAUAUCGGGAGGAACACCAGUGGCGAAGGCGACUACCUGGCCUGUUCUUGACGCUGAGGCGCGAAAGCUAGGGGAGCAAACGGG
rnacentral:rRNA from 1 species